rnacentral:rRNA from 1 species
GACGAACCGUACAAGCGUUAUUCGGAAUCACUGGGCUUAAAGGGUGCGUAGGCGGCGCGGAAAGUUGGGUGUGAAAUCCCUCGGCUCAACCGAGGAACUGCGCCCAAAACUGCCGUGCUUGAGGGAGACAGAGGUGAGCGGAACUAAGGGUGGAGCGGUGAAAUGCGUUGAUAUCCUGAGGAACACCGGUGGCGAAAGCGGCUCACUGGGUCUCUUCUGACGCUGAGGCACGAAAGCUAGGGGAGCAAACAGG